CGUGCAAAUCGAUUUAAUUUGAAUUUAGAAAUUUAUUAAAUUUUAGGUUUUAUUAAAAUGUUUAAAGCAAUAAUUUUUUUUAUUAAUAUUUWUUGAAAAAWUUUUUUWAAUUAUAGUUUAYUAGUAUAGUGAUAGAAUAUUGAAAUAUAUUGAAAAUUAAAAUUUUUAAAAGAAGAGUUGAUUUCUUGUACCUUGUGUAUCAGGGUUUAUAAAUUAAAAGUUAAUUAUUUAAUUUUCCCGAAUUAAGGAGAGCUAGUUUUAUAUUUAUUUUAAUGUUGAAUUAUUAUUUAAAAUAUAUUUCUGGGGGUGAAACUUUAUUCGUUCUUUAAAAUAUCUGGUUUUUUAAGAAAUGAAUUUAAUUUAUUUUAUACUAAGAAGAUUAUUUUUUUAAUAAAUAGUUUUUUUGUGUAAGGUUAUUUUUUAGGGGAUAAGCUCUAAUUAAUAUCAUUAAAAAUUUAUUUAUAUUAAAUAUAUUUAUAGGAUUAGAAUUGUCUAUUAAUUAGAGGGUGUUAUAAUUUAUAUAUUUUUAGGUAAUAUUUAUAUUUAUUUUAAUUUUUAUAUUAAAAUAUUUUUAUUAAUUUUAUAUAAUAAGUAAAAAUGAUGAAAUUAGUAUAUUGUAUUUUAUUAAUAAAUUUGAUUUUUAGGUUAUAAAAAGGAAUUCGGCAAAUAUAUUUUUCGCCUGUUUAUUAAAAACAUGUCUUUUUGUUUAUGAUUUAAAGUCUAACCUGCCCAGUGAUUAUUUAUUAAAUGGCCGCGGUAUUUUGACCGUGCGAAGGUAGCAUAAUAAUUAGCUUUUUAAUUGGGAGCUGGUAUGAAUGGUUGAACGAGAAAAUUACUGUCUCUUUAUAAUUUAUAUUAAAAUUUAAUUUUUAAGUUAAAAAGCUUAAAUAUUAAUGAAAGACGAGAAGACCCUAUAGAGUUUAAUAUUUGAGAAUUAAUUUUUAUUAAGGUAUUUAAAUAUAAUUAUUUUUUAAAAUAUUUGGUUGGGGUGACUAAAAGAUUAAAUUAACUCUUUUUUUAUUUUUACAUUUAUUAAUGAAUUAUUGAUCCAAUUUUUUUGAUUAAAAGAUUAAAUUACCUUAGGGAUAACAGCGUUAUUUUUUUAGAGAGUUCAAAUCGAUAAAAGGAAUUGCGACCUCGAUGUUGGAUUAAAGUUAAUUUUGGGAGCAAAAGCUCAAAAAUUUGGUCUGUUCGACCAUUAAAACUUUACAUGAUCUGAGUUUAAACCGGUGUGAGCCAGGUUGGUUUCUAUCUUUAUUUGAAUAGGAGAUUUUAGUACGAAAGGACCAAAUUUCUAAUAUAUUAUUUUGGAGUUGAAUAUUAUUGUUGCUUUGGCAGAAAAGUGCGUUAGAUUUAGAAUCUUUUUAUGUAAUAUUAUUACAG
rnacentral:rRNA from 1 species